UUCCCCCCCCCCAUCCUUGUUAUGGGCAGAGAGGCCCUACACCAGCAGAGAAGGGGUUAAGGAGAGCCUGUGGCCCCCAGCUAGCCCUGCCUCCGCUAUACACGAAGCCAAUGCUAAGCGUGGAGGGGGAAUAAAAAGAGAGAGUCUGGCUCAGUUGUGGACUGGCGGGUCAGGAAGGAGGAUGGAGCUCUGCCUCUGUGCUGCUAACUGGAGCAGGAGCAGUCAGACGCCACGAGCGAGCGAUGCAUGAGCAAGAGAAGGAUGGGGCGCCCCACUGGAAGGCUGGGGGAUGGUCCAGCAUUGAGUUGGAUUUGCUUUUAUUUUGGAACUUUUGGGGGCUCAACUCCCCCACCAGGGAAAGUAAGACUGGAGGGACAAUUAGCUGGUGGGCCAGAGCUCUGCUACAGUGCACCCUGGAGGUGCAGACUUCUUCCCUGGGAGACGUGCAGCCACACUGGGGCAAUAGAAGGCCCACAGAGGAGGACUCUGUUCCUGCCACGGCACUACACUCCUCCUUCUGAGCUGCAGUUUGAGCCUCAAGUUUUUCUACCAGGCCAGUAACAUUAUCCUCUGAUGAGGAGGCAUAGAAGCUCUUUCAGACUCUCUUUCCAACUGAAACAUCUUGGGGGUACUGAGGUGAACUUGUUUCAUGUUGCUGAAUCUGCAUUUAUCUGCCGAAAAAAUUCAUCAGAAAAAAAAUUCCUUCAGUUCUACACAUGAACGCCUUAACAGAACCAGCUUCUGCGCUCUGUAAAGGGGAAAUCUCAGCUUCUGUUGAGAAAUUUGGCGACCGCGGCAGGACUCUAGGCGACCACCGUCGGGGCCUCUUGCCUCCAAACGUCCACUUGGCGCCAACGGGUGAAUUCACCUGGGAUCUUUGGCAGCAGGAGGCACCGAAGGGUAAAGGUUCCUGAAUCCAUCAUAGCUACAUUAAGUUAGCGCUGGGACACCCACCUAACCCUGACAAGCCAUCGGACGAGCCACUUCAUGAAUAAACGCCACUACCAACCCAUGGACUAAGCUUUCCAGUUAUUGGGACCUUCACAGCCCUCCAGGACUUCUUGUGUUCCUGUUUAUUAAACUUACAUUGGUGGUGGUGGUUUUUUUUUUUUUUUUUUUUUUUUUUUAAAAAUACCAUAUAAAAAAGGCCAACAUUGGUAUGGUUUGCCUGGGGCUUCCUCUCCCUAUUCCCAAGGAUGGGAGGGCAAUAGCUUUUUAAAUUUAACCCGCGCCAUAAAACAAGGAGUAAAUCAAACACAAUGUUAAAUUUGUAUUCAUACCCCCACAUAUUUAGGUCGGGGUCCCGUUGGUAGGGGUACCUAUCCCUCUUAAUCGAACAGACUCGCCCUUUUGGAAUAAAACGUCUUUACAGCAAGCCACCUCUCAGGAUUGGGAAUAUUCAGUUGCAAUACUAACUAAGGGAGUAUUUUGUUUUGCCCGAAAUCAAUCUGACCAGUAUGCGCGUCCUGUUAAAAAAAAGUUCUUGUGUUAUCACUCAGUUGGCAAAUAAGUAUUAAAUAAAAAUGAAGGGUAAAGGCCGGCAAUGUAAAAGUAGUAAUUCUUCCCCUUUCGGAGAAACUCUCUUACAAAUAACCUCUCCACAAUAAAAAGUCAAACAGGUAUAACUUGUCGUUCGGUUAAUGUCUCUGAUAUAUCAGGCCAAUGAUAAGUCUGCAGUAGUCCCUAUAAAAAGUGUAAUUUAAAUGGUACAACCAAAAACACCCCUACCCAUAGUCAACAAAGAAAAGGGAAAGCCCCCUUGGGAGCAUAUAAGCUAUUUGGGAAAGCAGUGUUAAACAUUGCAGGAAUUCCCCUAAAAGCCAGUCCUUAUUAGGCCCUACAGGGUCGUUAUUUUGUGUGUGGCCAAAAAGCUUAUUAAGUGUUACCAGCUAACUGGACUAGUAGCUCUUAUAUAGCCCAUGGAAUUCCCCAUCUUUAUAUUACUACUACCUUACCUAAAAGCAAAAUUAAAAACAUCCGGAAUAUCCCUAUUAAAUCACGGGGGGGGGUAACUCUUCAACGGCUAAAUGCUGCGUUAAAGGGCAACGCAAAAAAUCCCCUCACAACAGAAAAGCUCAUAGGGUGUCCCAUUCUGGGAAUAGUACCACUACUGACAGGGCCAGCCAUAACAUGCAUAGGCCGUUACACUGUAAAACUUCAAAUGGUACUUAAAAAGAUUGCCUUAAAAUUUAAAAAACUCAAUUAGUGGUUUAAAAUCAGCAAUAAAAACAUUAAAUAAAAAAGUGCAACAACUCAAAACGUAUUCCUUCCAAAACAGGUUGGCCUUAAACUAUCUUUUAGCAUCCCAGGGAGGGGUCUGCGCUCUCACUGGGUCCCGUUGUUAUAUGUAUGUAAAUAAUAGUAGCUAUAAAGUCUAUUUAAAAAAAAAAAAAAAUGGUACGGGCAGAGGCCCAUGCCCGAGUCGAAGCACAAGCUGCCUACACCGCCCCUGAAAGCAAUUGGUUGCAAACUCUGUUUUCAGGGUGGGGUUUAUCAUCAUGGCUUAGUGGUUUGUUCAGUUUAUUACUUAAAAUUUUCCUUCCUGUAUUAAUUGUACUAAUAAUAUUAUGUUGUGCAGUGUCGCAUAUUAAAAAACUUUUGCAAAAUAUGUUAACUCGUUCUUUUCAAGGCUAUCGCAAACUGCUCAUGCAAAGUAAAUUGUAGCAUAAGUAGGCAGGGAUACCUACAAAACCAAAGGGGGGACUGUUAUAAAAAAGUGCUUAUAUGCUAUUUUAUAUGAAUGUUUAAUAAGUUUGUUCUUAUAACUUAGCAUAAGUUACCAAUUUAGCAUAAGUAAUUAAAGUAAUUGAAGCCUUAGGCCGAGGUCAAGCUGACCUGAGAGGAAUGCUAAAAAAGCAGCUUCAAAACCAGUUGAGACUGCCCGUUAUCACUAAAAAUAAUAAAAAAACAACAACAACAAAAAAUAGGACUGAUCUGUCUCCCGGAGCAAAUCCAGCACCCGGCGACGGUCUGUCCACUCGGCAACAAAACUGUCCAAUAAAUAAAAGCAGAGACCCCUACUCAAAUUAAAGAAUUGAAUUUUGGACAUGGGCGAGGGCGGUGUUACCAAUUGUAAAGGGUAUAAUUGCUCGCAAUUUCUGAGGGGCGGGGUUCCUCUCCAGAGGCACCCAGCUUGAGCUGUAUUUCUGUACACCAAUAAAAGAUGCCUGUGUAAAUUAAACUCUACAUCUAAAAUUCUGUAAAAUCCUAAAAUCAAAUCAAGCACCUAAAAAAAAAGGGCUAAUUGUUUUUUUUCCCCCAACAAUGGGGAACCUAUGCCAUUUAUUGGGAAAGUGACUUGACCAAGGUUACAUAAGAUGUUUGUGGCAGUGCUGGGGAUAGAACGCAGAUUCCCUGACUCCCCUUCUGGUGCCAUACCCACUAAGAUGCCCUUUCUCCACACCCCUCUUUAAAAAGGCUAUUUGCUUGUGGCAGGAUCACAGCACUCUUAUGCGGUAUUUACAGCAGCUGGGAUCAUCUGGGUGGAAAUCUCGUAUAACAUACAAAGAUGGAACAUGUCUGGCAUAACAAGAUUGUACAGCCAGAGCAGAGAAUAAUAAGAAAUGGCAGCAGGAUAUCCAUCUAGACCAAUUUAAUCCAGCCUUGAUUUUGCAAACUUCAAGUGACGGAAGGAAUAGGAAACUGUGGAAAUACCAUGUCAAUUGCUAUUCCAAAGCAAGUCAAUGCCCAUAACGGCUGCAUUCUAUAGCAUGGGGAUUGGUUGUUCAGGGUAGGAGCAGAGCUUAUUUUCUGACUACAUAACAGAAAUCUCCAUCACAACAGGCACCCAUGAAUGCCUCUCAGCAGAGAGGACAAUGGCUGAAUGGGCAUGAAGAUGGAACCUACCAUCCAGGAUGAAGCACUUUGAUGGGACCGCACCAGGGUAGCUUAUCCUGCUACUGCCCUGUGACAGUCUGCGCCUCAAAGUAGCACCCUGAAACCCUCAAUCACCAUGGUGAUAUUAUGAUAAGUUUUGUAUAGAGUAUGCCAUGUGAGGUAUCAUCUGAAAUGUCUCGAUCUGUUGAACAUUUAUGUCCUGUCGGAUUGUAUGUGCUGUCAUUAUAGGUGAAGAUAUGAAGCAUUGCUCUAUGCGUUACUGAAAUACAGUGUGAGUUUGGGAGAUGCCCACAAUCAAUGUUUCAAUUGCAACAAAGGACCAACCAGAUGUGUGUGCUGCUGGGCCAUUAAAGGGAAUCCACUCUCCCAACUCUGGCCAUCCCAGAGACUUCUCAGAGAGGGCAUGUAGGCAAUGGAGACUGACUGACCAAUGGGGACUACCUGAUCGCCAGGUCACAGCAAAGAUCUUCCCAGAAAGCUGGAAGAAAAUAUAAGAGGGGAAGUGACAUCAUCACUUGGUCUCUCUCCCGCCCCAACUCAACACCUGGAGGAACAUCUGCAGGAUAAAUACUUUGAACCGUGGAAGGGUGGACCCAGGGUGGAAAAGGGAGUCUAGUCUGUGUAUGGAGGAUCUGUAACCUGUUUGUACCAUCUGUCGGCGUGAGACCCUGCUUGAAUCCAAUCCGGUUUAGUCUGUAGAACUUAGACUGCACAUUUAUUUGUGUUUCUUAAGUACCCAACGCUAAUCUCUGUCUGCUAUUUAUAAUCACUUACAAUCUAUCUUUCUGUAGUUAAUAAACCUGUUUUUAUGUUUUCCCUAAAA